rnacentral:rRNA from 1 species
GAACGCAGCGAAAUGCGAUACUUGGUGUGAAUUGCAGAAUCCCGUGAACCAUCGAGUCUUUGAACGCAAGUUGCGCCCGAAGCCUUGGCUGAGGGCACGCCUGCCUGGGUGUCACACGUCGCGUCGCCUCCGAAACCUUUCCCCUCGUAACAACGUGGCGAUGGUUCCGGAUGCGGAAGAUGGCCUCCCGUGACCACGAGCCACGGACGGCCCAAGUUUUGGCUGGGGAAGCGAAGCGCCACGGCUUUCGGUGGUCGGCACAGCCCCCGAGGCGAUGAACGAACGAAGCCCGUGGCUGCCGCGACGGUCCCCGGUCCACGACCCCAAUCGCUAACCAAAGCGACCUCAGGUCAGGCGGGGCUACCCGCUGAGUUUAAGCAUAUCAAUAAGCGGAGG